GCAUUGUUUGGUGUAAUAGUUUUCUAUCUAUAUUCACUGCAGUGCUUGCUUAAACUGUCUGCUUCUAAUAGUCUGCCUAUGUGUCAGACAGGUACUUUGUUACCUUAAACCAUUUGACUCCUUUGACCUCAAAUCAGGUAGGACUACCCGCUGAACUUAA
rnacentral:rRNA from 1 species